CGACCCUUCCCUUCGGGGGAAUGACGGCCACGGACAGCCGGGUCGACUGCCGA
rnacentral:sRNA from 1 species